rnacentral:rRNA from 1 species
CAGCAGCCACGGUAACACGAAGGGGGCUAGCGUUGUUCGGAAUUACUGGGCGCAAAGCGCACGUAGGCGGAUAUUUAAGUCAGGGGUGAAAUCCCAGAGCUCAACUCUGGAACUGCCUUUGAUACUGGGUAUCUUGAGUAUGGAAGAGGUGAGUGGAAUUCCGAGUGUAGAGGUGAAAUUCGUAGAUAUUCGGAGGAACACCAGUGGCGAAGGCGGCCCACUGGUCCAUUACUGACGCUGAGGUGCGAAAGCGUGGGGAGCAAACAGGAUUAGAUACCCCAGUAGUCCCUGUCUCUUAUAU